AGCGAACGCUGGCGGCAGGCUUAACACAUGCAAGUCGAGCGGGCAUCUUCGGAUGUCAGCGGCAGACGGGUGAGUAACACGUGGGAACGUACCCUUCGGUUCGGAACAACUCUGGGAAACUGGAGCUAAUACCGGAUACGCCCUUAUGGGGAAAGGUUUACUGCCGAAGGAUCGGCCCGCGUCUGAUUAGCUAGUUGGUGGGGUAACGGCCUACCAAGGCGACGAUCAGUAGCUGGUCUGAGAGGAUGAUCAGCCACACUGGGACUGAGACACGGCCCAGACUCCUACGGGAGGCAGCAGUGGGGAAUAUUGGACAAUGGGCGCAAGCCGGAUCCAGCCAUGCCGCGUGAGCGAUGAAGGCCUUAGGGUUGUAAAGCUCUUUUGUCCGGGACGAUAAUGACGGUACCGGAAGAAUAAGCCCCGGCUAACUUCGUG
rnacentral:rRNA from 1 species